CUGGACCAAAGAGGAAACUGACAACACACUGACAGAAGAAGACAGAGAAGGUCACUUCUGAUCCCUCAAAGUCCUCAUCUUCUGUGUCUGAAAUUGAACAGCUGGGCAACAGCUUUUGAACAGCUUUCUUCAUCAAACAUGCCGGGUUCCCUCUCAUCAUGGUUGAUCGCUGCCAGUGUACGUAGUGUACGUAUUACGUCCCUGUGUCAGCGGGAAAUGGUCCGACAGUCAGCCUCGCGUGUGGAGACUUCAGAAGAUGCCAGACCUCACAAAGGUUUCAGAUGAUGGAAACUAUAGAUGAACAUGCAAAGCUGCUUAAUAAUCCUUAUAUUGUAAUCAUUGCCCUAAAAGGUAAGUUUUCAGGGUGAUUUAAGGUGUGCUCCUUCAUUUUCUGCUUGUAUUCCUAUGUAUUUAUUCGAUAAGACGUGUGCAUUUUCGAUUCUGCUUAACGAUUCUAGCUUUCAAAUUCCAAUUUGAUUAAAAACGAUUAAGUGCAGGAAUGGAAAGAAUUAGCGUCCUGUUUGUGUGCAGCGUGCAUGAAGCGCAAGCUCGUGCACAGACAGCAGCAGUCGCGCUGUGGGUUCUUGGUUUGUGUCCGUUCUUGGACUUUUCCGUGUAUUUCCACUGUAGAAAAGGUUGUUCAGAGUCUAAACUGACUUCUUUCAUAUUUGUCAAGCAAUAAACAGAAAACUACAUCAGUAUAUCAUCAUAAACACAGCCGUUUUCGUCUUACGUGAACGUAAACAGAUGAGAAAGAAAACCAUUCACUGAUCUUGACUGAAUAUAUUUAAUAACUUUAAUUGAUUAAUCUUUAUUUUAUUUAUAAAAAGAAAACAAUGAGGUGUUUUUAAACUUUUAAUUACAGUUUCUAUACCUGAAAUUUUGAUGUUGCUUAUUGAUU